UCAUCACAAAAAAAGCCCCGGUUCAAAUUCUACGGUCCUGAAUUUUUUCAAAAACGUUGGCACUCAAAAGAUUUUAACCCACGUAAAAAAUUAAGUAAAAUAGGCUGUUUACUUAGAAAUUAUGAAUCAUAAAAUACCGUUACGAUGAAGUUUUACUGAAAACUACGUCAAGUUUGAUGAAAUCCUGAAAUACAACACAGCAGUAAGUGUAAUUUGAGAAUGCUGUAUAAAAAAAACUUAUUUCCGCAACAAUGUAUAUGUAUAGUGCACCAAUUUUAGCUCUUAUUCUAAGCUGCUGAUGUAAUGAAAUUGGUUUACGCCAUAAACUUUCAAUCUGCCAAAGUUUGAUUAAGGAAUUGAGUAAUUCUUUGAAAUGCACCCUAUAUCUGGAAAAUUAUCACUAGUAAUAUAUCUAGACAUUUCAGAAUUUUGGAACAUUUGCAAUUAGAAGGGCCCGGUAGUUGAAACAUUGCCCAAACCGUUAAGUGGUUAUAGAAUUUUACUUCUUAAUUGAGGGAACAGGUUGUAUUUUGCGAUUUUGCCUGUUUUAAAACCGGAUUCGAAGUUGCAUGUUCCCCCGAGGUGAUUUUUACUAAGGCGUCUCCUCCCCUUGCACCUUUUUAACUUUUCAGCUGGUGUUCUCACGUAGGUGAAAAACCACCUCAAUCAGGCCGGCAAGGCCAGUUCGUGCGAAAAUCUCCCUUCGGUCGAGACGCUUUUCUCAUGCCCUUGGGCUUUUGGAGGGAACAGGAGAACGUUACACAACCGCGUGCAAAAAAAAAAACCAACUUAUUGUCUAAGCCGACACAACAGAGGAAACAGAAAAGGCGAGUGUUUCAGAACGGAAUUACAACAAAUAUUGUGAAUUGGGUGGUGCGGGCAAGUGCAAUGACUGGAAGUCACGGCCGGAAGCUUACCUGUCGUACGUGCGUUCGGCUUCCGCCUGAUCCUUCAUCACACGUGCCCUGCCGUAUUUGGAUCAUCCAGCCUUCAGACUGGAGAAGUCCAAUCCGAGUGUUGCCUCCUCCAUUAAGGACAGUCAGAAAAGGAUGGAGUUGAAGACGAUGUUGUAUUUGAGAAAGUAGUUCUUCACGCAAAAUAAACAUAAAAUAUGACGGUCUUUAAACAGCGUACGGAAAGAACCUACGUCGAUAUUGGAAAGGUGAUCAACAAAACGCGAUAACAGAAACUGUAUUUUUAGUAUUAAAUUAGUCACUGAACAUCUCUUGUAAUCGUAGGUAACUUUUUUAUAUGUAUUCAUAACUUUCAGUAAAUCCAUACAGGAUU